rnacentral:rRNA from 1 species
GAUGAACGCUGGCGGCGUGCCUAAUACAUGCAAGUCGAACGCUGGAGAUCUAGAUUGCUAGUUCUAAGGAGUGGCGAACGGGUGAGUAAUACAUAAGCAACCUACCCACGAAUACUGGGAUAAUCUCUGGAAACGGGGACUAAUACCGGAUACGUAAUCGGAAGGCAUCUUCUCGUUAUUACAGGUUAAAUACACUGGUGGAUGGGCUUAUGGCGCAUUUGUUAGUUGGUGAGGUAACGGCCCACCAAGACGAUGAUGCGUAGCCGGCAGGAGAGGGUGAACGGCCACAUUGGGACUGAGACACGGCCCAGACUCCUACGGGAGGCAGGAGUAGGGAAGUUUCGGCAAUGGGGGCAACCCUAACCGAGCAGCGCCGCGUGAGUGAAGACGGCCUUCGGGUUGUAAAGCUCUGUUGUAAGGGAAGAACGGUAGAUAGAGAAUAUCUAAGUGACGGUACCUUACCAGAAAGCCACGGCUAACUACGUG